rnacentral:rRNA from 1 species
UACGUAGGGGGCGAGCGUUGUCCGGAUUUACUGGGCGUAAAGCGCGUGUAGGCGGCUGCUUAAGUCGGGUGUGAAAGCCCGGGGCUCAACCCCGGGAUGCCGCCCGAGACUGGGCGGCUUGAGGUCGGAAGAGGGGAGUGGAAUUCCAGGUGUAGCGGUGAAAUGCGUAGAGAUCUGGAGGAACACCCGUGGCGAAGGCGGCUCCCUGGUCCAAUUCUGACGCUGAGACGCGAAAGCGCGGGGAGCGAAACGGG